rnacentral:rRNA from 1 species
CAUAGCCGCGGUAAUACAGAGGGUGCGAGCGUUAAUCGGAUUUACUGGGCGUAAAGCGUGCGUAGGCGGCUUUUUAAGUCGGAUGUGAAAUCCCUGAGCUUAACUUAGGAAUUGCAUUCGAUACUGGGAAGCUAGAGUAUGGGAGAGGAUGGUAGAAUUCCAGGUGUAGCGGUGAAAUGCGUAGAGAUCUGGAGGAAUACCGAUGGCGAAGGCAGCCAUCUGGCCUAAUACUGACGCUGAGGUACGAAAGCAUGGGGAGCAAACAGGAUUAGAUACCCCAGUAGUCCCUGUCUCUUAUACA